GACGAACGCUGGCGGCGUGCUUAACACAUGCAAGUCGAACGGAAAGGCCUGCUUUUGUGGGGUGCUCGAGUGGCGAACGGGUGAGUAACACGUGAGUAACCUGCCCUUGACUUUGGGAUAACUUCAGGAAACUGGGGCUAAUACCGGAUAGGAGCUCCUGCUGCAUGGUGGGGGUUGGAAAGUUUCGGCGGUUGGGGAUGGACUCGCGGCUUAUCAGCUUGUUGGUGGGGUAGUGGCUUACCAAGGCUUUGACGGGUAGCCGGCCUGAGAGGGUGACCGGCCACAUUGGGACUGAGAUACGGCCCAGACUCCUACGGGAGGCAGCAGUGGGGAAUAUUGCACAAUGGGCGGAAGCCUGAUGCAGCAACGCCGCGUGCGGGAUGACGGCCUUCGGGUUGUAAACCGCUUUCGCCUGUGACGAAGCGUGAGUGACGGUAAUGGGUAAAGAAGCACCAGCUAACUACGUG
rnacentral:rRNA from 1 species